AUUGAACGCUGGCGGCAGGCCUAACACAUGCAAGUCGAACGAGUGGCGGACGGGUGAGUAAUGUCUGGGAAACUGCCCGAUGGAGGGGGAUAACUACUGGAAACGGUAGCUAAUACCGCAUACCAUCGGAUGUGCCCAGAUGGGAUUAGUUAGUAGGUGGGGUAACGGCUCACCUAGGCGACGAUCCCGAGCUGGUCUCAGAGGAUGACCAGCCACACUGGAACUGAGACACGGUCCAGCCUCCUACGGUAGGCAGCAGGGGGGAAUAUUGCACAAUGGGCGCAAGCCGGAUGCAGCCAUGCCGCGUGUAUGAAGAAGGCCUUCGGGUUGUAAAGUACUUUCAGCGAGGAGGCGUUACUCGCAGAAGAAGCACCGGCUAACUCCGUGACAGCCGCCGCGGUAAGUC
rnacentral:rRNA from 1 species